UAUUGCACAAUGGGCGAAAGCCUGAUGCAGCAACGCCGCGUGUACGAUGAAGGCCUUCGGGUUGUAAAGUACUUUUAUGAGGGAAGAGUAAGGACUGUACCUCAUGAAUAAGGAUCGGCUAACUACGUGCCAGCAGCCGCGGUAAUACGUAGGGUGCGAGCGUUAUCCGGAAUCAUUGGGCGUAAAGAGCUCGUAGGCGGUUCAACAAGUCGGCUGUGAAAGUCCGGGGCUCAACCCCGGAAUUGCAGUCGAUACUGUUGUGACUUGAGUCCGGUAGAGGAGAAUGGAAUUCCCGGUGUAGCGGUGGAAUGCGCAGAUAUCGGGAGGAACACCAGUAGCGAAGGCGGUUCUCUGGGCCGGCACUGACGCUGAGGAGCGAAAGCGUGGGGAGCAAACA
rnacentral:rRNA from 1 species